UACAAUUAAAAUGGAACUAGCAAGGUUAUCAAUUUUUGUUACAGUGGCUUGAAAUUUUGACCAACAUGUGUGUGAUAUUAUUGACUAUGCAAUUUACUUGAAUAUCAUUGGUUCCUGGAGCAAUGAUCUCUGGAUGCAUGUAUCAAAGCCUCCAGAGAAGCCUUACAUCAAGCAAAUCUUUGAGGUACAGUAGCCGUUUCAAUUUUUUGGUUCAUAACUUUGAUUACCUGCAAUUAUAAAGUCUUCUAUAACUUGAAGUGUGUUUCCUUCAGAAUUUUUCGCAUGUCUCCAAGGAAAUGGGCAUUUCAGUCGCACAGAACAUUAAUGUGUCAAAUUCUAGAGUGUGUUCUUGCCUUUUGAAGGAUUGUAUACCAUCAUUAGGUUUGAAUCCGAUUAGGAUUUCAGAUAAUCUGUCUUACAUGGACCUACUGUCAGUAGUAGCACAAUGGCAUUAUCAUAUCAUGUGCUGCCCAGCGUGACAAACUAGCGGAGCGGUUCCCAGCCGAGCACGAAAAAUAAUAAACUUACACCAAUCUUCGGUUUUCAUGCUACAGAAUUUGUGUGCUCAUAUAGUUGUAUCUAUGAAAUCGCAGACUACAUGCUGAACAAGUUUCAGAUUGAGGAGAGCCUGGUCCCAAGAUGUGCCUAAAUUUGUACAGGGAAUAAGGAACUACAAUGGCCGGUCUGAAGGUAUAUAUGUCCCACAAUGCUUAGAUUAACAAGUUUCUGUUAGUUUCAUAGUAUUUAAACUACAGGUUUUGUUUCUAACUUUUUUUCAUAAUCCUGUUGAUGUGCCAGCUUAUGGGCUACGAUUUCGACUACGAGGAUUCCACGCCAGCGUGCACGGUAAAUUGCCAUAUGAGAAAUUGAAGCCGGACCCUGUCCUGAGGAACCUACUGCUUUCGAUGCCUCAAAAUCCCUCUGAUGUUUUUUGCUAAUCGCAUCAGCAAGGGGUCUGUGACAGUUAAAUGCUUCAGCAGUUACAGUUUGUUGUUGCACUGUAGAUAUUCACCAACUCUGACGAGGCUCACGCGGCCGCCCUCCUCUUGGUUAACUAAUUUCUGGUUCUUUUUGCUAAAUUCUAAUUUAAAAACAAAGCAGUAAGAAAUCAUGCAUGAUGUUUCAAGUAAAAAAAUAAAUAAAUGCAGCCUCGAGUGCUGAUCUAUGAAAUAGAUACCAUCAGGAAGGUCGUGCCUUCAAUUCAUCAUGUUCUUUGCAUGCCUAAUUUUCCUCUCAUCCUCUUUUAUUGUAUUCACAGUGUUUUUUUUUCUGGACAAUGGUUCUGCAUCUUUGCAGGAGGAUUAUCAGGCCUGAGUGACAUUUGUGGGAAAAAAAUCGUUCAAAGCUUGGUGUUCAUUGCUGUUAUUGUUCCUAAUUUGAAGGGGACUGAGAUUUCUACCUAGGAAAUUCAAGUUGUGUUACCUUCAAAUGAUCGGACAUCUGAAAUAAAUUAUAUGUUAGUAAGUCUAUUACUAAGACAAAGACAUUGUGUUCUUUUUCAUAAUUUUUCUGAAUUGUCUUGGAGAAGCAGGUAGGCAAUACUGAUGAAGCCCAGUCGUAUGAGCUGAGGGCUCAGACCGUCUCGCCGCGUUGGAUCUGAUCUUACAUGCAAAGCUGUUGAGCAGAUGCUGAUCAUUUAGUGUUGUGACAGUAAUAAGAGUUGUCCGUAUUUCUUCUUUCAUGUACUAUAAAUACAAGAGACAUAUGUGCUACACUACUUUUGGACAAACUGUAAUGGGUUGUCCUCGUUACAUGUACAACCAGUGUAAUGGAUCUGAGCUCAUAUUUUCUCUGCCGCUUUUGUGUUUAUAUACAUGCUUGCUUUUCAAACAAAUAUAAUCCGCACAACAGUACAAUCACUUUGAUGGACAUCAGCU
rnacentral:lncRNA from 1 species